rnacentral:rRNA from 1 species
AAUCUUGCACAAUGGGGGAAACCCUGAUGCAGCGACGCCGCGUGAGCGAUGAAGACCUUAGGUGUGUAAAGCUCUUUCGGCAGGAACGAUAAUGACGGUACCUGCAGAAGAAGCUGCGGCUCACUACGUGUCAGCAGCCGCGGUAAUACGUAGGCUGCGAGCGUUGUUCGGAAUUACUGGGCGUAAAGAGUGCGUAGGCGGUGCUCUAAGUUUGGUGUGAAAUCUCCCGGCUCAACUGGGAGGGUGCGCCGAAGACUGGAGUGCUUGAGUGUGGGAGAGGAAAGCGGAAUUCCUGGUGUAGCGGUGAAAUGCGUAGAUAUCAGGAGGAACACCGGUGGUGUAGACGGCUUUCUGGACCACUACUGACGCUGAGGCACGAAAGCGUGGGGAGCAAACAGG